CCCUUAGAUGUUCUGGGCGGCCCGCGCACUACAAUGGCGCUUUCAGCGAGUUCCUAUGUUGAAUUUUCCUGGGUAUUCUUGGAAGCGGCGUCUUGACUUGGGAUAGAUCCUUGUAAUUGUUGGUUUUGAACGAGGAAUUCCUUGUAAUCUCGGUUGAUCAGCUCGCGUUGAAUACGUCCCUGCCCUUUGUACACACCGCCCGUCGCUCCUACCGAUGAAUCGUCCGGUGAAGUUCACAGAGUGGCGGUUCGUGGAGUUGCUCGCGAAGUGAAAUGGACCUCACGAUUUAGAGGAAGGAGAAGUCGUAACA
rnacentral:rRNA from 1 species